GCUAAUACCGGAUAAGAAAAGCAGAUCGCAUGAUCAGCUUUUAAAAGGACGGCGUAAAGCUGUCGCUAUGGGGGAUGGGCCCCGCGGUGCAUUAGCUAGUUGGUAAGGUAAAGGCUUACCAAGGGCGAUGAUGCAUAGCCCGAGUUGAGAGACUGAUCGGCCACAUUGGGGACUGAGACACGGCCCAAACUCCUACGGGAGGCAGCAGUAGGGAAUCUUCCACAAUGGACGCAAGUCUGAUGGAGCAAACGCCGCGUGAGUGAAGAAGGUUUUCGGAUCGUAAAGCUCUGUUGUUGGUGAAGAAGGAUUGAGGUAGUAACUGGCCCUUUAUUUGACGGUAAUCAACCAGAAAGUCACAGCUAACUACGUGCCCAGCAGCCGCGGUAAAU
rnacentral:rRNA from 1 species